AGAGUUUGAUCCUGGCUCAGAACGAACGCUGGCGGCAGGCUUAACACAUGCAAGUCGAACGAUCCCUUCGGGGAUAGUGGCAGACGGGUGAGUAACGCGUGGGAACCUACCUUUCGGUACGGGAUAGCUCCGGGAAACUGGAAUUAAUACCGUAUGCGCCCUUUGGGGGAAAGAUUUAUCGCCGAAAGAUGGGCCCGCGUUGGAUUAGCUAGUUGGUGGGGUAAAGGCCUACCAAGGCGACGAUCCAUAGCUGGUCUGAGAGGAUGAUCAGCCACACUGGGACUGAGACACGGCCCAGUCUCCUGCGGGAGGCAGCAGUGGGGAAUAUUGGACAAUGGGGGCAACCCUGAUCCAGCCAUGCCGCGUGAGUGAUGAAGGCCCUAGGGUUGUAAAGCUCUUUCAGCGAGGAGGAUAA
rnacentral:rRNA from 1 species